rnacentral:lncRNA from 1 species
GAGAGAAAGAGAGAGAGAGAGAGAGAGAGAGAGAGAGAGAGAGAGAGAGAGAGAGUAUACUAGGUACUACUACUACUAGGUAUCCCCCCUUUCCCUUUCCAACUGACUAGGUAUCCCCCCUUUCCCUUUCCAACUGACUAGGUAUCCCCCCUUUCCAACUGACUAGGUAUCCCCAUUUCCCUUUCCAACUGACUAGGUAUCCCCCCUUUCCAACUGACUAGGUAUCCCCAUUUCCCUUUCCAACUGACUAGGUAUCCCCAUUUCCCUUUCCAACUGACUAGGUAUCCCCCUUUCCCUUUCCAACUGACUAGGUAUCCCCCCUUUCCAACUGACUAGGUAUCCCCAUUUCCCUUUCCAACUGACUAGGUAUCCCCCCUUUCCAACUGGCUAGGUAUCCCCCUUUCCCUUUACAACUGACUAGGUAUCCCCCCUUUCCCUUUCCAACUGACUAGGUAUCCCCCUUUCCCUUUCCAACUGACUAGGUAUCCCCCCUUUCCCUUUCCAACUGACUAGGUAUCCCCAUUUCCCUUUCCAACUGACUAGGUAUCCCCCCUUUCCAACUGACUAGGUAUCCCCCCUUUCCCUUUCCAACUGACUAGGUAUCCCCAUUUCCCUUUCCAACUGACUAGGUAUCCCCCCUUUCCAACUGACUAGGUAUCCCCCCUUUCCCUUUCCAACUGACUAGGUAUCCCCAUUUCCCUUUCCAACUGACUAGGUAUCCCCCCUUUCCAACUGACUAGGUAUCCCCCCUUUCCCUUUCCAACUGACUAGGUAUCCCCCAUUUCCCUUUCCAACUGACUAGGUAUCCCCCUUUCCCUUUCCAACUGACUAGGUAUCCCCCUUUCCCUUUCCAACUGACUAG